rnacentral:rRNA from 1 species
CGGGAGCCAAAUGCCCGCCGUGGGGAGGUUAGAAAGGCCCCACCGGGUCCGUGAAACUUCUUUUCCCCGGAGAAGAAGCCAAUGACGGUAUCUGGGGAAUAAGCAUCCGGCUAACCUGUGCCAGCAGCCGCGGUCAUACAGAGGAUGCAAGCGUUAUCCCGGAAUGAUUGGGCGUAAAGCGUCUGUAGGUGGGCUUUUUAAGUCCCCCCGUCCAAAUCCCCAGGGCCUCAACCCCUGGACCAGGCCGGUGGAAAACUACCAAGCCUGGAGUACGGUAGGGGCAGAGGGAAUUUCCGGUGGAGCGGUGAAAUGCGUAGAGAUCGGAAAGAACACCAACGGCGAAAGCACCUGCUGGGCCGACACUGACACUGAGAGACCGAAAGCUAGGGGGAGCGCCACCCCGCGCACUUAGAUACCCCCAGUAGUCCUAGCCGUAAACGAUGGAUACUAGGCGCUGUGCGUAUCGACCCGUGCAGUGCUGUAGCUCACGCGUUAAGUAUCCCGCCUGGGGAGUACGUUCCGCCCACGAAUGAAACUCAAAGGAAUUG